rnacentral:rRNA from 1 species
UACGAAGGGGGCUAGCGUUGCUCGGAAUCACUGGGCGUAAAGGGUGCGUAGGCGGGUCUUUAAGUCAGGGGUGAAAUCCUGGAGCUCAACUCCAGAACUGCCCUUGAUACUGAGGAUCUUGAGUUCGGGAGAGGUGAGUGGAAUUCCUAGUGUAGAGGUGAAAUUCGUAGAUAUUAGGAAGAACACCAGUGGCGAAGGCGGCUCACUGGCUCGGUACUGACGCUGAGGCGCGAAAGCGUGGGGAGCAAACAGG